rnacentral:rRNA from 1 species
UACGUAGGGUGCGAGCGUUGUCCGGAAUUAUUGGGCGUAAAGGGCUCGUAGGCGGUUUGUCACGUCGGGAGUGAAAACUCGGGGCUUAACUCCGAGCCUGCUUCCGAUACGGGCUGACUAGAGGUAUGCAGGGGAGAACGGAAUUCCUGGUGUAGCGGUGAAAUGCGCAGAUAUCAGGAGGAACACCGGUGGCGAAGGCGGUUCUCUGGGCAGUACCUGACGCUGAGGAGCGAAAGUGUGGGGAGCGAACAGG